ensembl:lincRNA
GGCGGGUGGUGUAUGCGUUGUCUGUGGGGGACAUCUCUGGAAGGAAAGGUUGGAGCCCACAGUUAAAUGUGGGAGAAUUUUUUUCUGGCAGAAACAGAGGAAGUUGGAGGAAGAACGUGAUCUGGGGUGAGAAGAUGAUGUGGCACUUUGGACGAGCAGAGAAGAGGCUGGGAAACGCCGCAGGACAGCGUAGGCAGGGGCCAGGCCCAGUUGGUGUAGCGGACGGCGGCCAGGCCCGGCUAGCGGAGAUGAGACCACGCCGUAACUGCAGGCUGGAUCCCAGAGGCCCGGAAACUUCAGCCUUCACUAUAGCUCCCUCGAGUUCCAUUCCCGGGGGGGGGGGAGGACACAUGUCGGUGCGAGGCCCGCCCAGGUAGCCAAUGGAGACCCUGAGUAAUCACCCGACCCUCCACGGGAAACCCGGAGCGGUAGGCGGAGGCGCCCGUGCCCGGCGCGUGCGCGCGGCACGGAGGGAGGCGGCCUGGAUGGGAGGGAGCGCGCGCCCUUCACGUGACCCAGCCCGCGGGCGGCGACGCACACGACGCGCCCCUCACGUGGUCUGUCUCCAGGCCCGUCGCCGGCGGAGGCGGGCGCGGGCGCGUCCCUGUGGCCAGUCACCCGGAGGAGUUGGUCGCACAAUUAUGAAAGACUCAGCUUCUGCUGCUAGCGCCGGAGCUGAGUUAGUUCUGAGAAGGUUUCCCUGGGCUGUCCUUGUCCGGCGGCCUCUGCUGCCGCCUUCGGAGACGCUUCCCAAUAGAUGGCUACAGGCCGCGGAGGAGGAGGAGGUGGAGUUGCUGCCCUUCCGGAGUCCGCCCCGUGAGGAGAAUGUCCCAGAAAUCCUGGAUAGAAAGCACUUUGACCAAGAGGGAAUGUGUAUAUAUUAUACCAAGUUCCAAAGACCCUCACAGAUGCCUUCCAGGAUGUCAGAUUUGUCAGCAACUUGUCAGGUAAGUUUAAUAACAAAACUGUUGUACAGAGUUUGAAAUAUAAAACUAUUUUAUUAGAAGCAUUAGUUAGAUGGGAUAAAACUCGGGUUAUUACAUUUGAGGGUUACUUUACUCAAAUUUGGAAGUUGAAGGAUUGGGCGAGGCUCCUUGAAACUCAGUGAAGCUAGUUUCACUGAAACUCUGCUCAGUGAACAGAUUUCUAAAGUUGAAUGUGAAUUAGUUAGGUAAAGAUUGAUUGAGGAAAAGGGAUUUAGGCCGAGAGAACAGGAUGUGGGAAGGCCUGCCAGUAAAAGAGAUUAUGGUUCUGUAAGGAAACUGCAGAAUGUAGAAUAUAACAGGGAUAUUGGAGAGAUUUGAUCUGGAGAAAUAAGUAGGGACUAGAUCAUUUAAACUUGUGUACUAUGUCACAUAGUUUUGUUUUCAUGUUAAAAAGAUACACAGGGAAGUAAAUUGCUUAGCUUUUCUUCUUUGGUAAAAGCAGUUGGCAUCUUGUGGAGAUUUGAUUAGGAGAAAAAAUAGCUUGGAAGGUUUUGUAAUAAUUCUGGAAAAAAUGAGAGCCUAAAUUAAGAUAGUGGCUGUGAUGAUGAAGAGAAGUCCACAUAUUUGAAGGGAUUAAUAAUAUAAACUCAAUAGGAUUUGGUGAAUCCUAACUUUCUUGACCAGAUACUAAGUAAAUACUAAUGUUGUUCAUUGAGAUCUGAUGAAGGAAUAUAAGACUUAGGAGGUCUCUGGUAGGUAGGCUAGAAAGAAAAGUGCACAAAGUAAGUUCAUUUUAGAUAUAUUGAGUUUUUUUUUUUUUUUUUUUUUUUACCAUUUCCUGUCCCAUUCAUUCCUUCAUUUAGACGCAGAGUUCCAGGUGGUAUCUUUCCACUCAAACCAAAGAUCUUCCUUUAGUAUUUGGUAUAAUACAGAUACAAUAGAGAUGAAUUUUCUCAGAUUGGUUAAUCUGAAACUAUGUUUUCAUAUUUUUAUUUUUCAUGUUUAUUUUACUGUCUUUUUGAGACCUAUUUUCCCAAGGUACAGAAUUUAGCUCUUUUGAGCCGUUGGACUCCCAGGACGUAUGCCUGGGCCAUGGCCAUCUUUGCCUUCCUCUCAUUGCAGAUUGUCUUUCCUCAUUUAAACUCUAUACUACAGGUUUUUAUCCUAUAUAUUUUUAUAGUGUAAAGUAUAUAUAAGACUAUGCUUUUACACUAAACACUGUAUAGUUGCAUCCCAUAUGCCUUGAUAUUAUUUUUAUUUUUAUUUUCAUUUUGUUCCACAUAUUUUCUAAGUUCUUCUGUGCUGUCUUCGAUCUAUGAGUUAAUAAAAGUGUGUCAUUUAAUUUCUGAAUACUUGAAGAAUUUCCCAGUAUUUUCUUUCCUUUUAGAGAGAGAGAGUGCACACAGAUGAGUAGGGGAAAAGACAGGAGGGGCAGAGCGGGG